rnacentral:rRNA from 1 species
AUUGAACGCUGGCGGCAUGCUUUACACAUGCAAGUCGAACGGUAACAGGCCUUCGGGUGCUGACGAGUGGCGAACGGGUGAGUAAUGCAUCGGAACGUGCCCAAUCGUGGGGGAUAACGUAGCGAAAGUUACGCUAAUACCGCAUAAGCCCUGAGGGGGAAAGUGGGGGACCCGCAAGGCCUCACGCGAAUGGAGCGGCCGAUGUCAGAUUAGCUAGUUGGUGGGGUAAAGCUCACCAAGGCGACGAUCUGUAGCGGGUCUGAGAGGAUGAUCCGCCACACUGGGACUGAGACACGGCCCAGACUCCUACGGGAGGCAGCAGUGGGGAAUUUGGGACAAUGGGCGCAAGCCUGAUCCAGCCAUGCCGCGU